CCAGGGCCAGUCAAAUCCACCACAGUCUCGCGCUGAGCUAGGAAUAAAGUUCACGUAAUCACAUGAGAGUGGAGAAAAGUCCCCCAUCCGGCAGGAUGCUGAACGGGCUACAUUAAAAAACAAACCUCUCUCUCUAUAUAUUUAUAAAUGAGAACUGUUGGAUGACACCUUUGACAUAUCAGCCAAUAUCAAUCAAGCUGAAGACUCCAGACACUGUCUGUGUGACUGUAACAUUUCUUCAAGGAAAGUAUAGCGUCUAUGGAGUUCAGAGGGCACGUGUUUGGGGGAAAAUAUAUAUGACAUGAAGAAGAAGAUGAAGAAAAAUGAGAAAAAAACACACAAAAGGCAACUUUAAAACAAAAUAUCACGAGCAGACGGGGAGGCUGAAGGGCUGGGAGCUGGGAGGAGACGCUGCUUACCGAUCCCGGGGCUUUUCCAGCCCAUGGGCGCCUGACGCAGGCUGGGGCAAGUGGUGCGUGGGGCCUGGUCCCCAAGGGGCGGCUGAGAGGCCGCCACUGAGCAUCUCUAUCUGUCAUUCCUUUAGCUAUUUAGGGACCAAAGGACCAAACUUUUUAUUGCAGAUGUGUAGCUCUAUGUCAAAUAGAGGGGGAAUGGAGGACCCC
rnacentral:lncRNA from 1 species